UUUAUUGUCUGACCUGGUCAAUUCGUUGGUGUCUAAGGAAAGCAACGGAGAGACCCCCACUUAUCUUUACUUACUUGGCUAUUUUGGGAGAUUUUGUAUUAGGUUACUUGUUGACCCGAGUUCGCCCAUACCGACUAGGUUGGUCAGAUAUGAAAUGAGAUGAUUCAAACCAGAUUAGUCAUUACAUCAGAUAUAUAUGACUAAUUAGAAGAGACCAGAAUCUAAAUCUUCUUACUAAAUAUUAAGUUAACUGGUCUUCCACCAUUGUAGAGAUACGGAUGCCUUUUUCAGUGUUGAUCAUUUUCGGCUGGUUACAGUGGUUAGUUG
rnacentral:lncRNA from 1 species